rnacentral:rRNA from 1 species
CACGUAGGGGCAAGCGUUGUCCGGAAUUAUUGGGCGUAAAGAGCUCGUAGGCGGCUCGGUAAGUCAGGUGUCAAAUCCUCAGGCUCAACCUGGGGCUCCACCUGAUACUGCUGUGGCUAGAGUCCGGUAGGGGGAGCGUGGAAUUCCUGGUGUAGCGGUGAAAUGCGCAGAGUAUCAGGAGGAACACCGGUGGCGAAGGCGGUUCUCUGGGCAUUACCUGACGCUGAGGAGCGAAAGUGUGGGAGCGAACAGG